rnacentral:rRNA from 1 species
UACGUAGGGUCCAAGCGUUAUCCGGAAUUACUGGGCGUAAAGAGUUGCGUAGGUGGCAUAGUAAGUUGGUAGUGAAAGCACCCCGCUCAACGGGGUAAACAUUACCAAAACUGCUAAGCUUGAGCAUGAGAGAGGUAGAUGGAAUUUCUAGUGUAGGAGUGAAAUCCGUAGAUAUUAGAAGGAACACCGAUGGCGUAGGCAGUCUACUGGCUCAUUGCUGACACUAAGGCACGAAAGCGUGGGGAGCGAACGGG